CACUGGCUGAGUUAAUGGGGGAAGAGCAGUAGAUGUUGUGUACCUUGGUUUCUGCAAGGCAUUUGACACAGUCUCCCACAACAUCCUUGUUAUGAAACUUAGAAAGUGUGGGAUAAAUGAGUGAAUGGUGAGGUGGACUGAGAACUGGCUGAGUUCAGAGGGUUGUCAUCAGGAGUGCAGAGUUAGAGGCCUUUAAUUAGCUGUGUUCCUCAGUGAUUGAUUCUAAGUCUGGUCUUGUUCAAGAUCUUCAUCAACGACCUGAAUGAAGGGAUAGAGACCACCUUCAGCAAGUUUGCUGGUAAUGCAAAGCUGGAAUGAGUGACUGACACACUAGAAAGCUGUGCUGCCAUUCAGCAAGUCCUGGACAGACUGCAGAGUUGGGCAGGAAGGAACCUGGAAACUAAAAUCAGCUAGACUGGACUCCCCAGAAGAGGCCCUUGACAUAACGAGCUGAAGAUAAACCAUCACCUAUUUCCAAACCUCAGAACCUAACUGAGUGGAGCUUCAGGCAGGGAGCAGAGCUAAAUGGCUAAACCAAAUCUCCAUUGCAUGUACAAAGACAGAUCUUCAGUCAAAUUUCAUAAAUGGCAGGACAGUGGUUACUCUUCUAUUGUAAGGUACAUUGGUCCUGAUCUGCAAAACAACCAGGACAACUGAAUGGGAAAAAAAAAAACACCAUGAAAUAGCUUUAUUUUCCGGGGCCUGUGAUAGCCAUAUUAACAUUACAUUAAGGUAUUCUUUGCUGUUCCUCUUCAGUCUCUCUCCUUCUUAUGGAGCUAACCACAAGGGUAGUCAUCAUGAAGCAAACAGAAGAUUUUUCAUUUUUACCCAGAAUUUGAACAAAGUGCCAAAAAAGCCAAAAUGGCUGUUGGCUAAGAAAAAAGCUAAACUGACAUUAGCAAGCACAAGAAAGACAAUAACACAGAAAUGUUCUACUGUUUUAGGUAUAAGUUACCAGGUUGGAGAGAUUAUUGAUUAUUUGGUUUGCCAGUUGUGUGGAAAGAAAUUCAUUUCUGCACUUAAUUAUGUAAAUGUCCUGAAAACAUAAGUGAAGGAUCUUUGAAACGUAACUCAGGUUCAGUGUGUUGAAAGCUGUAGCAGAGACCAAGAGAGGCAUUGUAACAUGUUAUACAAUUUUGAUCAGAGAACCAAUAUUUUCUAGCAGGCUAUGCACUACCAUGGAAACUUGGAAGAUCUUAUUUUCCUUCUUGGCACUAAUGCUGACUCACUGCAUUGGACUAAACAGGCCAUUUAAGUAUCUUUGACUCUGUUUUCCUAUCUGUAAGAAAAAAGCUUAUGGUAUUUUCUAAAAAUAAAAAUAAUAAUUAAAAAAAUUACAGACUAAUGAAAGCACUCCAUCAGCAGAAACUGUGAGUACUAAUUAUCUAGCUGAAAUUAUAUAUGAACAUUUAGUAUGUACCAUCAUCUGUUUUCUAGGACAACUGUAAUGUUGUUUUUCAGUUUGUCUUCUCUCAGCACUGCAUCAUUGUCUAAGAAAGCAAACAUUUAAAGUUACUGGUAUCAAGCCAGGAGCACCUGACUGAGCUUUAAAAUGCAUUGCUAUGAAGGAUGACAGAGCUACAAGAUGAUGCUGAAAGACUUCGGACGAAUGAACUAUAAAAUAUAUUAUUUUCUUGCAAUGCAUCUUGUCAUUGCAUUUUUUGCUCCUUUUACAAAAUAAAAUCUUUAAUUCCUA